AGAGUUUGAUCAUGGCUCAGAUUGAACGCYNGCGGCAUGCCUUACACAUGCAAGUCGAACGGUAACGGGCCUUCGGGUGCCGACGAGUGGCGAACGGGUGAGUAAUAUAUCGGAACGUGCCCAAUCGUGGGGGAUAGCCCGGCGAAAGCCGGAUUAAUACCGCAUACGACCUGAGGGUGAAAGCGGGGGAUCUUCGGACCUCGCGCGAUUGGAUCGGCCGAUAUCAGAUUAGGUAGUUGGUGGGGUAAAGGCUUACCAAGCCUACGAUCUGUAGCUGGUCUGAGAGGACGACCAGCCACACUGGGACUGAGACACGGCCCAGACUCCUACGGGAGGCAGCAGUGGGGAAUUUUGGACAAUGGGCGCAAGCCUGAUCCAGCCAUGCCGCGUGCAGGAAGAAGGCCUUCGGGUUGUAAACUGCUUUUGUCAGAGAAGAAAUCUUCUGGGUUAAUACCCUGGGAGGAUGACGGUAUCUGAAGAAUAAGCACCGGCUAACUACGUGCCAGCAGCCGCGGUAAUACGUAGGGUGCGAGCGUUAAUCGGAAUUACUGGGCGUAAAGCGUGCGCAGGCGGCUUUGCAAGACAGAUGUGAAAUCCCCGGGCUUAACCUGGGAACUGCAUUUGUGACUGCAAGGCUAGAGUACGGCAGAGGGGGAUGGAAUUCCGCGUGUAGCAGUGAAAUGCGUAGAUAUGCGGAGGAACACCGAUGGCGAAGGCAGUCCCCUGGGCCUGUACUGACGCUCAUGCACGAAAGCGUGGGGAGCAAACAGGAUUAGAUACCCCGGUAGU
rnacentral:rRNA from 1 species